rnacentral:rRNA from 1 species
CGCUGGCGGCACGCCUAAUACAUGCAAGUCGAACGCAGUAGCAAUACUGAGUGGCAGACGGGUGAGUAUAAUGUGGGAAUAUGCCUUUUGGUUUGGAAUAACUCGGGGAAACUUGAGCUAAUACCGAAUAAGCCCUUACGGGGAAAGAUUUAUCGCCGAAAGAUUAGCCCGCACUUGAUUAGCUUGUUGGUGAGGUAAAAGCUCACCAAGGCAACGAUCAAUAGCUGUUCUUAGAGGAAGACCAGCCACAUUGGGACUGAGACACGGCCCAGACUCCUACGGGAGGCAGCAGUAGGGAAUCUUGCACAAUGGGGGGAACCCUGAUGCAGCGAUGCCGCGUGAGUGAAGAAGGCCUUUGGGUUGUAAAACUCUUUCGUCGGGGAAGAAAAUGACUGUACCCGAAUAAGAAGGUCCGGCUAACUUCGUGCCAGCAGCCGCGGUAAUACGAAGGGAUCUAGCGUAGUUCGGAAUUACUGGGCUUAAAGAGCUCGUAGGUGGUUAAAAAAGUUGGUGGUGAAAUCCCAAGGCUCAACCUUGGAACUGCCAUCAAAACUUUUUAGCUUGAGUGUGAUAGAGGAAAGUGGAAUUUCUAGUGUAGAGGUGAAAUUCGUAGAUAUUAGAAAGAACACCAAAAGCGAAGGCAACUUUCUGGAUCACUACUGACACUGAGGAGCGAAAGCAUGGGUAGCGAAGAGGAUUAGAUACCCUCGUAGUCCAUGCUGUAAACGAUGUGUGCUAGACGUUGGAAAUUAUUUUUCAGUGUCGCAGCAAAAGCGUUAAGCACACCGCCUGGGGAGUACGACCGCA